GCUUGUUCUGUGUAAUUAGCAUAUGAUACAUUAAAAAAAUACACUUCUAACAACAGAAGAGCUAGAGGGAUUUUCAAAGCAACCUAACCAGUGCAUUUCAGUUUUGUGGCUACGUUGCCAAGAAUCUAAGGUUUCCGUUCACCCACCCGACCCCCCUUUUAAAGUGUUUGAGGGACAUUUCGCAAAAACCACCACUCUUCCCAGCACCCAUAGCCCAACUUUUCUUGAAAGAACAAUCUGGUCACCAUAACAACGUCAUAGAAAUUAAGUUGUUAUUGGGGUUUAGUCAUUCUCGAUUCUUCAUUUCUCCCAGCUGGAACCGUCUUCUGAAAUUGACUGGCUUGAUGGCACAGAUUUUACACUUCUAUAUUAUUAAUAUCAAUUCCAGUGAUG